rnacentral:rRNA from 1 species
GUGGGGAAUAUUGGACAAUGGGGGGAACCCUGAUCCAGCCAUGCCGCGUGUGUGAAGAAGGUCUUCGGAUUGUAAAGCACUUUAAGUUGGGAGGAAGGGCAGUAAGUUAAUACCUUGCUGUUUUGACGUUACCGACAGAAUAAGCACCGGCUAACUUCGUGCCAGCAGCCGCGGUAAUACGAAGGGUGCAAGCGUUAAUCGGAAUUACUGGGCGUAAAGCGCGCGUAGGUGGUUUUGUAAGUUGGAGGUGAAAUCCCCGGGCUCAACCUGGGAACUGCCUCCAAAACUGCAUGACUAGAGUACGGUAGAGGGUAGUGGAAUUUCCUGUGUAGCGGUGAAAUGCGUAGAUAUAGGAAGGAACACCAGUGGCGAAGGCGACUACCUGGACUGAUACUGACACUGAGGUGCGAAAGCGUGGGGAGCAAACAGGAUUAGAUACCCUAGUAGUCC